CCAUCAACCACCAGCAGCUUCAACUUCCUUAGCUCCCAAAGCUGUCUUAAAGGUAAAGUCACCCCAUGACAGACUUUUAAAGGCUAGUGCAACCACCCUGGGAAACAACAGUCAUGCUUUAAACUGCAUUCCAAACCAAAGGAAGUGGGUUUGCACCAGGUAAAGUAGGCAGCCUUGUGCAAAGGUGCUCUGGGGGGGGGACACAACAAAGGAAACAGGGAGCUGUGACAUGAGGCUGACUUGUGACGUAGAAAACCACAGUGAAAAUGCCCUUGUCUCAUGAUCCUGAGUAUUACUGAUGCUUUUUAUUGGUGUGAUUCCUCACAGCUUCCCUUCAGCUUCCAGGCUUGGCCUUUCCUUCUGAGUCACAUCAUUGACUGUAAACUCACUCUCUGUGUUCAGGCAAGAUCUCCACAGGGGAGAUCUGGAUCUCUGUCUACAGGGAAGCUUUUCCAGUAAGAUUAGAAAGAAGAGAUGUAGCUUAUCCUGUGCAUUCAUGCACUGUGCAGGCAGUGACUGUGUGCCUUGUAAUAUAUUAAACUACUCAGUGAGCUAUUAUUUGCUUCCUAGGCAAAAACUUGCUGCUGUAAGACUGUUCUGUGUCUUGCCUUGACUGUGUCUUGCAGCAUUUGGAAGUGCUCUGUGAUCAACCUUUAUAAGAUAAUUCUACCUUUGGGACCCUCCACAAAAUCAUACUUUUUACCCUUGCUCACCGAGGAAAAAAAUAACAAGAAGUUUAUGCUAAAAGCUCUUUCAGCAAAGCCUCGUACUGAGUCUGAGGUGCCCUAUGCCAGAAGAAACAAUACCACACACCAUCUUCCCUGCACUCAGCAUGAACCUGCUACUUCAACACGUGUCUCCUUGUCCUGUGGCUCUAUGAGAGGAAGCUGAAACCAGCCCUUUGAAAUGCAGACCAAGUUAGAAGAACCUGCCUCUAGACUGAUUGUGGAGAAGUACUCAGACUGAAGAUUAUACCAAGAAAUGCCUACAACAUCAAAGGAAAGAGCUGAAUUCACUUCCCAAGGUAUGUUCCAGGAAAGGAAGAGACAGAGAGUGAAGGAGGCAGAGGUCCCUAUUUACCAUCCCCAGUUGCUUGCUGAGCUUGUCUACUGAAUGGCUUAAUAUGGUACAGAUGAUGUAGCUUCUAAGAAAAAAAUCAUCUAUUGUGCACUAAUGUAGUUUUCAAGGAAAAUCCCUUCUGAAUCAUCACAAAUGUUCUGUAAUAGUUAUUAGAGGACCUAUUUUGCAUCCAUAAAUAGUUUCUUUUAUACUUAACUUCAAACCAAGUAUCUUUCCUUGAAUUAAAGUGUUUCUUUGUCAGACCA